ensembl:lncRNA
GUCGGAGUUGAGUCUUUUUUUUUCGUUUCUUAAAGGCAAAUCCAAAAAGGUCACGCAAGGUCACAGGAAACUUUCUCUUUUGGCGAGAUACAUUCGAUUGUUACAAACAUUAGAUAUUUUAUGUAUCAGUAAUACGUUGCCAUGUGAAUUCAAGUGAAUGAAAUUGACAAAAACAAAAUACCAUUUUAAGUAAUCAUUUUUUUGUUCACUUUGCCGAGCAGUUACGAAAAAAACUCGAGCCAAUUUACUUUCCCCCGCUUUUGUUGUCUUAAAUUUCGAGGGCUUGUUAUUUUUUCACCCCACUUCCGAAGGAGCCAAGCCAGUCGAAAAGAAGUAUUUGGAUGCGAGAAGCAGCGAGACGUUGGGCAAAGGCGAGGGAGCUUUGAGAAGCGACGAGGAAAAGCUGAUUGCCCUCCAGGAAACGCAUGGUGUGACUACAGCAGAGACCUCCAGAUUCCUCCUGGGGCAGAGGACGUGCGUUGCUAGGAGAUGGUUGUUGGGCUGGCGUUGCCAUGCGUGGAUGCUGUUCCCGGCCAUGCUUCGAUGUGCAGGAGGACAAGGAUUCAAUACUCUUUCAUGGAGCGUGUGUGAGAGGACCUUAAGAGCACUGGAAAAAAAAAAGCAGGAAAAAAAAAAAGCCUGUGCAUCAUCAGCCUCAUCAGGGACUGUGGUGGUAGCCGUACAUUCCUGGGGCGAAUCCUCUCUGGGGCACAGGAACCGACACGUUACCCCGAAGCAGCAGCAGCUUGUUUCAAAUCUGCACAAUAAGGUCUCUGCGGUCGGCACGAGUGCCGAAAGCCACCGCGGAUGAACAAAUUCAAAGCGGUUACCUGCAAAAACUGAAAUACAGCAAAAACAAGGGCCGCUCUCAGAUGUUGUGAAAGCCAAUCGGACGCAAGUACCCCUGAAAGCCUGAAGCCUCCCAUUUGUGCGAAACUUUCACUUGAGUGUUUUUCUUCUCGAUUGUUGUACAGAAGCUCAGAAGCGCGCUUUAGACAGAGUGACACACUUUCUAUGCGUGAAGCCAAAGAAGCAUUGGGGGACGAAGGAGCGGUUUCAGGUCCCAGGGGCAACAAGUUGAUGCGGAUCCAAUUUCUGAAAAAACGCACACAAGGUCUUUUGUGCACCGAGGCUUUCUGAUAAGUGGAGCCUCUCGCAUCUACUCUUACUGAACACACACAGCGGCAUAGAGGCGACCCGAUACAGAUACUACGGGCAGCCCUGCGCUGACCCUCCGACCAUCAGCUAAUUUCAUGGGAUUCAACAAGGCAGAGUCUUUCAUUUCUUUAUUUAUCCUCCUUCAACGUCACUCGACUAGAAACUCGUUUUACUGAUUCUCUUUGUCAUAACUACAUGUGCUGAGGGAGAACAUUGGGAUAUGACUAGAGGAGAAAACGAUGGAUGAGUAAUCAAUCUGGGGUUCUUGAUAUUGUUUUGUGUUUUUGUAGUUCAUUCCACAAUUCAUUGAAUUGCACUGUAAUACGUUUACACAUUUCCAAUUAUAUUUUCAUACCCAUUGCAUAUUUACUAUAGUUUUGCACAAGAUGAUUAGGUUUAUCUAAUCAAGCAGUCUAGGAGCAAAUCAAUCUAUAAAAACACUGUGUCUUUAGAACAAUCAUUUACUCCUUUGUUCUUUUGGCCAUUUUUUCUUUUUUCUCCAUUCAAAAUAGGACAUUUUGUGGCUGCGACAAGCCCACUUUUUCGGCGGUAGUUUUGGCCACACUGCUCUGUGUUUUUCCUUCUGUCCGUCUCUCUCAUUGGUAUUGUCCUCCCAUUCUGUUGAUGUCUUUCUCUGUUUCGCUCAUUUUUCUUCUUCCUCUCCCAGCACCGAGUAAUUGGGGACUUGUGGCGGUCCGUGGCGGCGGGCGGCAGCCAGCUCUGUGAGGGGCUCAACUUGGUUCUGCUCCGGUUCUGGUGGCUGGCUGACCAGAAGCCCCCCCCCCCCCCCCCCC